UCUAAGAAGUGUUUCCAGCUCUUCAAGACACACAGAAAACCUGAUUGGGAGAACGCAAUGGAACAAAAGGUUGGCUCUCAAACCUCACUUUCUAGUCUGACUUCUACCCGUGUUUUCUCCAGGUUUUGUUCACUGGACCUGUAGAACUAAUUACCACUGCUUCUUCCUGGUGACUCAGGAGAGACAAAUGAAUCCCAGCUGCGAUUCUGAUGGUAGCCACAAUCUCACUCCAAGGGUUAUAAAGCCACAUUGUCCCCCCGGCCUCCACUUCUGAGCUCUCCUCGUUGGACAAAGAGUGGUAUACAUUCCUGUGCCUGGAGAAAUAAUCAAUAACAUUACUAAAGAUGCUGGAACAAAGCCCAGAUUCAAGGUACAGAGAUAUGACAACCUCUGAGGAGACAGAGAAUCUAUCCAAGGUCAUGCCAAUCUCCUGAUGAACAUAUAAAUAUAUGUAUAUAAAUAUUACAUAAUUUAUAUAAGUAUAAACCCCUUUUUUCUAUGAUGUUUGAGGUCAUAGGUGAGCUGCCCAUCUUUCCAAUCUCAUUAUAGAACACUUUCUUCUACAA